UGAGCUUUAAGUUAUAUAAACUUUAAGCCUUCCAAGCUAAAAAAAAGACCGUCUUAGGCUCAA
rnacentral:tRNA from 1 species